rnacentral:tRNA from 1 species
GGGGAUUUAGCUCAGUGGUAGAGCGCUUGCCUAGCAAGCGAAAGGCCCUGGGUUCGGUCCCCAGCCCCU